GUGCUUGCUUUGGCAGCACAUAUACUAAAAUUAGAAGGACACAGAGAAGAUUAGCAUGGCCCUUGUACAAGGAUAACACACAAACUUGGGAACUGUUCCAUAUUUUU
ensembl:snRNA U6 U6 spliceosomal RNA